rnacentral:rRNA from 1 species
CCUCAGAAACAUAGGGAUUAGGACGCUUAGACCGGCCGGGUACGAGCGGCCAGGCAGGUGAGGGUAGCCUUAGUACGUAUGUUCAGCGGCUGAGAUCUUUGAGGCCGUGAUUAAGGCCGUUCAGAAGACGGUGACACAUAUGAUUAAUGAUUCAUGUAUUUCUCUCCGGCCGUGCGUCUUCUUUGAUUGUUCUCGCACGCGUGCGUCGUUACUGGACAUCCCUCGGACGACGGACGUCACUGGUACAGCGCGUGUAGCGGCCGCCGCCGCCACCGGCACGAUACGACGAAACACUACUACACGCCGUGCGGCAAGGACGGCCCCACGCUCCCCACGUCCGUGCUGCUCUUCAGCCGCGAAAACCUGUAGGAGCUGGUCAAGCUGAUGAUACUAAGCGACCUGACCUCGUCAUCUCUAACGACGCUCACCCUGCGCCACUGGACGUCGAGGGCGUGUCCGGCACAGUGGCCGGAGCUGGAGUCAUAUGAACUCUCAUAACCGAGGCCGAGCCCCGAUGAGUUGCGAUGGUGCAAGGAAGGGAAUGUUCUCGACGCCUUAGACAGGGAGUUAAUGGAGAUAUAUGUUCCUACGAUAGGACCACGUCCGAAACUUCAUACCAGUUUUGACGCGUUUAAUCUUUAAGAACUAAAUAGGUUAUUAUUUAAUCUACUCUCAUCGUAGUGUAGGAAGCAACGUCAAAGUAGCGAUGCCAGUAAUAACGAGGUACCGUUACGGAAGUCGAGGUUAGACUGUUAUGUUCCUGACUCGUGUUACUUCGACGUAUGAGAACUAGAUCCGUUAUUAAUAUAUGUGCCGUUCAAUCGUUGUCUAUAAACGUUAUACCCUCUAGAAGUUCUCAAUGUAGAGUCACCGUUAUAAAAUGAACCUCUCGAAGGCAGUACGUACUUUUUAGAUCGAAGAGAGUCUUAAGAACUAGACAGUGUAUUGUGACCUAACUAAGACUUCAAAGGGAGAGGAUAGAAAGGUUCAGAGUGUAGUGAGCACUUUGAAAGGGAGAAUUUAUUGACAGAACUUCCUCAAGAGAGGGACUCAAGGAACGAUUCAGGUGUUAACUGAGUGGAACUUGAUCGUUCGUUGCCGUUGCCAUUGGUAAAAGUCCACGUUUGUCUCUUAGGUCGUUGUGUAGGUAGUCGAGUCGAAUUCCAAGAUCAUGAAGCUUUAACGUUGGAAUUACCAUUAAGUAGGCAAUAUGGUUCAAAGAACAACGUAGUCGUACGUGAUCUCUGCCAACUAUACGGAUUAUUGUUGGAUUGUCCAAUGAAGGGGAACACCAACUAUCUAUUAUUACAGUUGGAUAGUUGCGAUCAAGACGCUCCAUUGAGGAAAUGUCCAGGAAAAGAAGGUAGGUUUCAUGUGUGCUUGAACGUAACCUACCUACGUAGGGUAUUAUCCGAUUCCUUUAAUGGACACCUGUAGUUGUGGUGUAAUGGUUUAAACUCCAUGGAUUGGAAUAGUCCCUUAAUAAAAUCCCCGUGGAAAGGAAGGUGGAACUCGAUGUACCUAUUAGACGUUAUAAACCUAAACAGAAUGUUGUUAAAGAGUCUAUUGUAACGCAGCCGAAAACAACCUUCAUACAGUUUAUAGUGACGGAACUUUGACAGCCCUUUAGUAAAGAUGCCACGUAAGGGAGUUCUGUAAGUUAAUGGAAGGUAAAAUGUAGAUAAUUACCUACUUUUACUUUAGUUUCCUCUUGAAGGGGUCUUCUAUACACUGUCAUACUUCGAAUACUGCAAACUACGAUCGUUAUUACUCAACUGGCCGGUAGAGGGGUGAACGUAAAUGGUUGAGAGCCGUGAACGGUAGAACUUUAAUUUUCCCUUGAGCAACUGACCUAGCUAAGGUAGUCCUAAUACGCCGGAGGCGUUUGACCAUAAAGAUCUAUAAAGUUCGUUAUUGGAAAGACCAGGUCACGUAACGAAUGGCUUAAACAUGGUACAAGUAUACUCACUUUUAUCUAAUUUACCUUGGAAAGGAUAAGGUAACAGACACCCUUGAUUAUAUAUAUGUCACCUAGAGUCUCUGUUGGUUAAGUCACCAUAGGAAGGUCUCGACUAUCCGUUCAGGAAAGGUUUAGAUUUUCAUGACGAUGAUUUUCCAUUGUACAAGUUGCCCUAUCAAGGUUUACUACAUACAUUGAAUUCCAUAAACGCAGAUGAUCUAGACAGAGUAUUAUUCGAUAGGCCCGUCGAUGGAAAUACAAACAUGUAAUACCCUGACCUACUACCAAAUAAAUUGAAGCUUGGACCAAAACCUUGAAAAGGACUUAAUAAGCUUCAGUGCCCCGACGGUCUAGUUCUCCCUAAGUACUGAUUCCCGUCUGUUCUGUUAAUGUCCCCUUUGUAUGAGUUGAUGUACUGACCUGAACUAAAGAGAAGCUUGGUCAACUUUCCUAGGUAAGUACUUUCAUAUCCACUGUACUUUACCAAUUCCCGUAACUUAAAGAGUCUUUUAUUGAAACUACCUAGUUAUGGUGUCAGGAAUAGUUUAAAUUCACUAGACCUCUCGAACCUAGAGAGCGUGUUGUUCAACCGUCCGGUUUAUGGAAGUCUCGAUCGUCGUAAUGGCAGGGAACUUCACAAGAGUCACCGUAUGUUGUUGGACAGACCAGGAUGUGGCCCUUGUUUCCCCGUCAAGUAGUGUAAACUAGUCUCGUCGAUGCUUCCGUUAGGCAUAGAGACGCCGGGUGGCAAAGAUUUCUCAACGAGUCAAGGACUCGAACUUCUUGUACCUCUUCUUCUGCUACUAUUUCAACCACUAUAGUAUAACAAACCAACAAGUCGAUACAAGAUGUACCGACCAAAGACCUGCAGGAACCCACACGAAAUGAAGUUCCGUUCGACCGCUACCAGUACCAAGAGACGCCACCUGUACAAGUCGCUAAAACAUUACCAGUUCAACCGAUAUAUGUGUUCUUUCUAGGCACCGCGGUCAACUAGAAAGGCCUCCCGACUUAUUAAGUAGUUCGCCAAUGGAAAACCACUAUGAUCAUCUUAUAAAUUCUUCAACACAUUAAACAAAAUUUUAUAACAGCUAACUAUUCAACACAUUAUUCUGACACUGCAAGACACCGGUACACAAUAUAUAUAAAACAAACCAGACAUCUAGACUUCAAGAAACCUUGACCAAUUACACUAUAGUGAGACUAACUUUGUCCCAUUACGAAAAGGAUUGUAACCUGAUCCAUUACAAUUCAGUGAAACUACUCGCGAGAAUAGAUCUAACGGCG